UAAGCGGAGGAAAAGAAACUAACUAGGAUUUCCCUAGUAGCGGCGAGCGAACCGGAAGGAGCCCAGCUUGAAAAUCGCGUGGCUUUGCGGCGCGAAUUGUAGUCUGGAGAAGCGUCCUCUGCAGCGGACCGGGCCCAAGUUCCCUGGAACGGGACGUCGGAGAGGGUGAGAGCCCCGUCGAGCUCGGACCCUGCUGCUCCACGAGGCGCUGUCGGCGAGUCGGGCUGUUUGGGAAUGCAGCCCUAAGUGGGUGGUAAAUUCCAUCCAAGGCUAAAUAUGGGCAAGAGACCGAUAGCGAACAAGUACCGCGAGGGAAAGAUGAAA
rnacentral:rRNA from 1 species